UCAUGACCUGAGCCGAAACCAGAUGCUCAACCGACUGAGCCACCCAGGCGCCCCUAGAGAUUCUCAACUAAUUAAUUCUUCAAAGGCUCUAUUUCCAGAUCAGGUCACAUUCCGAGCAUCCGAGGGGACGUGAACUCUGGCGGACGCUGUUCAACUCCCACCUGGGUGUAGAGCGUGGCGUAGAGAACUUGAUGGCAGGAGGGGUGCCUGACGGAGGGAGCGGAGAAAGAGGACGGUAAGGAUCAAAAGCACAAGGAGAGGACCGGGCUUGACCAAAGACGACAUUCCACUGGCAGGGUCAGCUGCAAACGGGAGCAGAAAGGUGAAGGAAGACACGACGAGGGUAAGAAGGCAGGUUGGAGGAUCCUUCAGCAGGUCGGUGAGCUGUCUGCUGAGACAUCAUGCGGGGAUACCCUUGGGCUGGACGGGUUAACAAGUAAAGCUGAGGCUUGAAACACC